rnacentral:rRNA from 1 species
GAUGAACUCUGGCGGUGUUCCUAACACAUGCAAGUCGAGCGAAAAGACUAGAAGCUUUCUCUCUUACCGUUAGCGGCUGACGGGUGAGUGAGACGUACAUCACCUUCUUCUUUUUCGUGGUUAACUUCGGGAAACCGCAUCUAAUACUGUAUAACAUGUUCACCCGCUUGGUGCAACAGUGCAUCUCCCUCUUGCCGUCACUUAUAGCUGGUUUCGCGCCGCAUUAGCUAGUUGGUAAGGUAACGGCUUACCAAGGCAACGAUGCGUAGCCGACCUGAGAGGGUGAUCGGCCACACUGGAACUGAGACACGGUCCAGACUCCUACGGGAGGCAGCAGUAGGGAAUCUUCCGCAAUGGGCGAAAGCCUGACGGAGCAACGCCGCGUGAGUGAAGAAGGUCUUCGGAUCGUAAAACUCUGUUAUUAGGGAAGAACAAAUGUGUAAGUAACUAUGCACGUCUUGACGGUACCUAAUCAGAAAGCCACGGCUAACUACGUG